GACGAACGCUGGCGGCGUGCCUAAUACAUGCAAGUAGAACGCUGAAGGAGGAGCUUGCUCUUCUGGAUGAGUUGCGAACGGGUGAGUAACGCGUAGGUAACCUGCCUGGUAGCGGGGGAUAACUAUUGGAAACGAUAGCUAAUACCGCAUAAUAACAGUUGUUGCAUGACAACUGUUUGAAAGGUGCAAUUGCAUCACUACCAGAUGGACCUGCGUUGUAUUAGCUAGUUGGUGGGGUAACGGCUCACCAAGGCGACGAUACAUAGCCGACCUGAGAGGGUGAUCGGCCACACUGGGACUGAGACACGGCCCAGACUCCUACGGGAGGCAGCAGUAGGGAAUCUUCGGCAAUGGACGAAAGUCUGACCGAGCAACGCCGCGUGAGUGAAGAAGGUUUUCGGAUCGUAAAGCUCUGUUGUAAGAGAAGAACGAGUGUGAGAUGUGGAAAGUUCACA
rnacentral:rRNA from 1 species